GGAAAUGUGGCUUAGUGGUAGAGUACUUGCCUAGCAUGUAUGAAGUCUUAGGUUUGAUUCCUCAGUACCA
rnacentral:tRNA from 1 species